AUAAAACAACUACCAAAGACUGUUUCUACUAGGUAAAGUGGACUACAUGUUACACACAACCAUCUCUAGUUGAUAAAAAAUCACAAAACCAUUUCUUGUCCAAAACAAUUUUAGUAUAAUAAUUGCUUUUAAAACCAGUUCUCAUCAUUCAAAAGAAAUCACCAACAACAACAAAGUCAAAAUCAUUGUGUUUAAACAGCACAAAAUCAUCAAUAAAUUAGAAUCUGCUCGUGAAAGUGAAGCUACUAAUUUAUCACAAGAUAAUAAACAACCAAAAGAUUAACCUAAAACAAUAAAUCCUAAUAAUAAAAGGAAAGAAAUUAGAAAUGAAAGAAGAAUAGCUAAGAAUUGAAAUCGAAAACCCAUAUGAGAAACAUUGAAAACAAUUGAAAAGAAACUAGAAUCCAAAAAAAACCCAAGAAGUUGGAAGAAGAUACCUACGUAUUAUGAGAGGGAAUCAUCAAGUCGGUCACAUGCAACGAAUCAUGUCGAUCUUGUCGAAUACCUUACGAGAGGGAAUCGUCAAGUCAGUUCAUGCAAU
rnacentral:lncRNA from 1 species